AUAAUGGUUUUGAUCGGGACAAGUAGAGCGAUACGAUUUUGUGAAGCGAACUGAGGUUUGGUGCGAGCUCAGUCAAAUCUUCGCUCGAAGAUCACCCGUGAACUGUUGUCCGAAAUCGUCAGAGAGUAGGAUGGACCGUAUCAUUCACGUUACGAAUGUUAGAGCGGAUUUGAUCGUUUCUAUGUUUAGACGAUCAGAGCCAUUAGGGUGGUACCGCGGGAAACCUUCUCGUCCCUAGA
rnacentral:ncRNA from 1 species